ACACUUACCUGUCAGGGGAGACAUGAAGAUCAUGAAAGUGGGUUUUUCAGGUAAGGCUUAUUUAUCCAUUGCAUGCUGGAUGUGCUAGCCCCUGAGAUUUCCCCAAAUGUGGGAAAUGUGAUUGUGUAAUUUGUGGUAGUGGGGACUGGUAUUUUGUGCUUUCCUCU